rnacentral:tRNA from 1 species
AUCUAAAUAGCUUAUUUUUAGAGCGUAAUAUUGAAGAUAUUAAAGAAAUUAUUUUAAUUUUUAGAUA